GUGCCAGCAGCCGCGGUAACACGUAGGGGCCAAGCGUUGUCCGGAUUCAUUGGGCGUAAAGAGCUCGUAGGCGGUUCAGUUAGUCGGGUGUGAAAUCUCCGGGCUCAACCCGGAGGGGCCACCCGAUACUGCUGUGACUCGAGUCCGGUAGGGGAGUGGGGAAUUCCUGGUGUAGCGGUGAAAUGCGCAGAUAUCAGGAGGAACACCGGUGGCGAAGGCGCCACUCUGGGCCGGUACUGACGCUGAGGAGCGAAAGCGUGGGUAGCAAACAGGAUUAGAAACCCUGGUAGUCC
rnacentral:rRNA from 1 species